CAGUAGCCGCGGGAACACGUAGGGUGCAAGCGUUAAUCGGAAUUACUGGGCGUAAAGCGUGCGCAGGCGGUUUUGUAAGACUGAUGUGAAAUCCCCGGGCUCAACCUGGGAACUGCAUUGGUGACUGCAACGCUGGAGUGCGGCAGAGGGGGAUGGAAUUCCGCGUGUAGCAGUGAAAUGCGUAGAUAUGCGGAGGAACACCGAUGGCGAAGGCAAUCCCCUGGGCCUGCACUGACGCUCAUGCACGAAAGCGUGGGGAGCAAACAGGAUUAGAUACCCGAGUAGUCCCUGUCUCUUAUAC
rnacentral:rRNA from 1 species